UGCACACUAAUUUAGAACAGUUUGUUAAGAAAUUGGUUUUGGAGAGAAAACAUGAGAGGAAGGGAAACAUCUCAAAAUAGUUUCAUACAAUCCCAGCCCAAACCUAUUGACUUCAGUGUGUCAUCAGUCUCCUGUGACAAUAAUAUGAGAAUUACCAUUUGUUUUCUUUAUGGGCACAACGCAGCAGCUCUACUUAGCACAGCUCUGCUGCUGGGGCUGCCAAAAUCACCACUUCACUGAAGCCCAGGCUGGGCAGUUGGCUGAAGAAUUUUCCCUUUUUCCCUUCUCCUGCUGGCUUCAGCAGCACAGUGGAGGGGAUGACUUUUGUAAUUCCCUUUUUCAAACUGCUGAAAUCAGGGUUUUUUUUGGAUAUAAAGGAAAUGUGAAAGCAAUUUCAAUCUAAUUAAGCAUAUACAAUAGGUACCCAUAAUAUUCUCUAGUCAAAGAGCGUAUUGAUCUAUAAUGGAAGGUUUCAUUAAUUCCAUUUGAGGAGGCAUGUUAACAAAUGAGGGCAGUAACAUCUGAUCUGGUGAGUGCCUCGAGUUUCCUCUCUUCUUUCUGCACUAAAAUCUCAGAGUUAAGCUAACCAGAUCAAAUAUUAUUUUUCUUUUAUUUGUCCAUCUUCUUAUAGGACCUACGGAUGGAAGGUCCUAUCUGCACAAUUAAUGCAGAACUCCUACUGAAAUCUGUGUGUUUGCACCACUCUGCUGAGUUUCAAUUCUGACUACGUUAAUAAUUAGAAUUGUACGUAAUGUCAGUAAGAAGAAGUCCCUCUAUCCAGUUUGGGCCACUAGCUGGAGAUACCACUCUCUAUACACUGAAAGUUCUCAACCACUAGCUUACACUGGAAACCUGCCUACAACCAUCUGAAGUUAGAUGAGAUGAGUCCUGCUUUUUAUGUUAGAUACAGAAGAAGAAAGAAGUCGUCAAACCAAAACCAAUAUGUGGUGCUGAUAGAUGAGGACAUUCACCAUAUUCCCUUGACUACAGAUUAUAUUCAGGCAACAACCCUGCCAUAAUUUCAGGAAAACAACUGCAGAGUCCUUGCACAAGACAUGACAGCAGUUCACAUAAAGAGAAACAGGCAGGGAGGAAGGGGUAACCAGGAACAUCCGCAGAAAUACACAGCUGAAGUUCUAGCAGCCCAGUGCUCAAGUGUGCACUCACAACGUGAUAGACAGAGAACUUCACAGACUGCCCAAGUCGUGCCUUGUCAUUCCUAUCACACAUAAAGGUUAAGAACAUCUGUGAUAACAGAUCUGCGAAACCUAAAAAAAAAAAGAUUCCUUUACCUACUGUGGGCUUACAGAAUCUGAAGUUAAAAUCCUGCUCAUUGUUUGGUAAGUUAACUCAUUUAUCAUUUCAAAAUAAGCUAGCUGGUUUGCUUCCUCAGUAUCUGAAGGGGUACAUGCACUUCUGCUAAUUGAAUCAUUGUUCUUGGAAACACUGCAGCUGAGUUCAUGAAAUACACAUAAGCAGGUGUAUCGUAAGUUUAAGCUGAGCAUUUGUAUUAGAAUUCAUAUGGAAAACCUUGAACUGUGAACUUCAGAAAUGGAAGUCCAAUAAGCCUUCCACAGUUCAAAAGAUUUCAUCAGCGUCUCAUUUACUGAAUACCUUAGGCACACCAACACAAUAAAUGUGAAAGAAGACUCUUCUUUCCAUGUUUUGACCCUCUUUUUCCAGGCCCUACAAGCUGUUUUCCCAUAUGACUUCAAC
ensembl:lncRNA